AAAGGAUUCAGUGACAAGCAAGAUGUAUCGACUAACAGUCUAAAUAAACAGCUUUUGCUUCUACUUACCUCCUGGGGAGAGCUUGGUCAUGGAGGCAUUGGCGGUGACAGUGUUGACGAGGAAGGCAGUAGGAAGGCGUCUGGUGUGCCCGGAGCUGGACCCUGGCAGUAGCGGUGAGGCAUCUGGUAACCCUGGUAGCAACGGCCAGGUGGCUGAUGUGCCUGCAGCGUACCCUGGCAGCGGUGGUGGAAAGAUAAAGUUGUGGACUGUUUCUCAACAUUAGGCUUGUGAGACACAAUUUGGACUGCACCAGGGCACUGCAUCACCAAUUUCCAUCAAAAUGCCAACAGCUUUGUGUUUCUGCCCCAUAUUAUGAAUGACCAAACUCUCGCCUCAAAGACACCCGGGGAGCACUUUUCUCUUAAGGCAUGACUGGAAAAAGAGUCAAUGUGAAGCCACUGUUGUAAUCUGAGAGAACAAUAUUGUCUCGGACUGUGUGGGAAGGUAUUUCUGGCCAGUUUUCUUGACUAAGGGCGAUAUGUCACAGGGACAUUGAGGAGAAGGGAAAGAAAAAAUACUGGGUAAAAUUAACAACUCUUAAAGUUCAGUCAGAAAAAAUGCAGAAUG